GAUGAACGCUAGCUCCAGUCUUAACACAUGCAAGUCGAGGGGCAGCAUUUUAGUUUGCUUGCAAACUGAAGAUGGCGACCGGCGCACGGGUGAGUAACACGUAUCCAACCUGCCGAUAACUCGGGGAUAGCCUUUCGAAAGAAAGAUUAAUAUCCGAUGGUAUAUUAAAACCGCAUGGUUUUACUAUUAAAGAAUUUCGGUUAUCGAUGGGGAUGCGUUCCAUUAGUUUGUUGGCGGGGUAACGGCCCACCAAGACUACGAUGGAUAGGGGUUCUGAGAGGAAGGUCCCCCACAUUGGAACUGAGACACGGUCCAAACUCCUACGGGAGGCAGCAGUGAGGAAUAUUGGUCAAUGGACGAGAGUCUGAACCAGCCAAGUAGCGUGAAGGAUGACUGCCCUAUGGGUUGUAAACUUCUUUUAUAUGGGAAUAAAGUAUUCCACGUGUGGGAUUUUGUAUGUACCAUAUGAAUAAGGAUCGGCUAACUCCGUGCCAGCAGCCGCGGUAAUACGGAGGAUCCGAGCGUUAUCCGGAUUUAUUGGGUUUAAAGGGAGCGUAGGUGGAUUGUUAAGUCAGUUGUGAAAGUUUGCGGCUCAACCGUAAAAUUGCAGUUGAAACUGGCAGUCUUGAGUACAGUAGAGGUGGGCGGAAUUCGUGGUGUAGCGGUGAAAUGCUUAGAUAUCACGAAGAACUCCGAUUGCGAAGGCAGCUCACUAGACUGCAACUGACACUGAUGCUCGAAAGUGUGGGUAUCAAACAGG
rnacentral:rRNA from 1 species